AACGAACGCUGGCGGCAUGCCUAACACAUGCAAGUCGAACGAAGGCUUCGGCCUUAGUGGCGCACGGGUGCGUAACGCGUGGGAAUCUGCCCUUGGGUUCGGAAUAACAGUUAGAAAUGACUGCUAAUACCGGAUGAUGUCGUAAGACCAAAGAUUUAUCGCCCAGGGAUGAGCCCGCGUAAAGAUUAGGUAGUUGGUGGGGUAAAGGCCUACCAAGCCGACGAUCUUUAGCUGGUCUGAGAGGAUGAUCAGCCACACUGGGACUGAGACACGGCCCAGACUCCUACGGGAGGCAGCAGUGGGAAUAUUGGACAAUGGGCGAAAGCCUGAUCCAGCAAUGCCGCGUGAGUGAUGAAGGCCUUAGGGUUGUAAAGCUCUUUACCAGGGAUGAUAAUGACAGUACCUGGAGAAUAAGCUCCGGCUAACUCCGUGCCAGCAGCCGCGGUAAU
rnacentral:rRNA from 1 species